CCCGCGUUGGCAGCUUAGAGUGGGGCGCGGGUCGGUGUGCUGAGGUCCCUAGCCUGCUGUGACACUCUCUCAGGAGGUGCCGCACUUCCACCAGCCGGCAGGACUGGAGUGGGGCGCAUGUGUAAAUCGGCAGCAGCGACCGCGGGCCGUGUCCUGAGGGCGGGGAGCGCGGGCCUCCGCGUGAGGCGCCGCGGGGUGAGGCCACGUGCGCGAGUUCCCGGGUCCCUCACUGGGGAACCGGGCUGGCCGCGCCCUGCGUCCUUUCCAGAAGGGGCUUUUACCCAGAUGCUGGCUCAGUGCUGCCCUGCAGUGGCCAAUGGUGGGAAUGGCUACUUGGAUUGGCCUCUUCAAACUGGAGUGCUUCAGGGCUGCCACGUGAGUUCUGCAGUCAGGGCAGUCCUGCUGCUUCCCCAAGGGACAGACCCAUCCUAUGAGAACAUUCUGUAACAUUCUACACGGCUCUCUCCUCCCUGGCUGUUGUCUGACCUUGCUCUCCUGGUCCGCCUUCCUCUGUGGUGGCACCUUCUCUGCCUCCUCCUAGUCCUCGGGGCCGUCUGUGCAGAGAAGAGAACCUGGUCUUGUACCUUGAGAUGUGGCUGGAGGGGUUACAGAAGACAGCAAAGGAAGGAGGCAUUCUGCAAACUCUUCACAGAGAUUCUUGAGCUGAGCCUCGAAAGAUGAGUGUGGACACUUGCCAGGCUGAUCUACUUUGACAGAAACUGGAAUGUUUUAUCUCCUAUGUCGCCGAUGUCUCCCAGCGCCUACAACACUGCCAGGCACGUAGCUGGAGCUCAGUAGAAACGGUUAAAGGAUGAGCUGGCCGGCUGGUCUCCAAACCAGCGCUUCUCGGGCCCAGCGCGCACCUGGGAAAUCGUUCAGCUGCAGACGCCGCUCCCGGAGGGCUGGGGUGGCCUGAGAGCGAGCGUUCAGUCCAGGAUGGAGGCUGGGGUGGCCUGAGAGCGAGCAUUCAGUCCAGGAUGGAGGCUGGGGUGGCCUGAGAGCGAGCAUUCAGUCCAGGAUGGAGGCUGGGGUGGCCUGAGAGCAAGCAUUCAGUCCAGGAUGGAGGCUGGGGUGGCCUGAGAGCGAGCGUUCAGUCCAGGAUGGAGGCUGGGGUGGCCUGAGAGCGAGCGUUCAGUCCAGGAUGGAGGCUGGGGUGGCCUGAGAGUGAGCAUUCAGUCCAGGAUGGAGGCUGGGGUGGCCUGAGAGCGAGCAUUCAGUCCAGGAUGGAGGCUCUCAAUGGUGGUCCCUCUUAUCCUCUCCCGUGUGUCCCCUCCCCUCCCUGGGAAGGAGGGGAGUUUGGGUUCGGAGGCAGGGCCAGGGCUCCUCGAGUGAGGGGAGCAGGUGGGACGGACGGACUCUGCGAGGAGGGCUCUGCCGUGACGGGGUGCACCAGCAGCUGGCCUGUCAGACUGAUUGACGCAGAGACGAAAAUGGCCGGGACCAAACCUUCCCGGUUCUGUGCUGGCUUUCAGAAAGAACCUUCCCCCUCCCACUGCUCUUCCCUGGCUCUACAGCUGGCUCCAACGAGCAAAAGAUUUCUCUCCAGAGCCGGCUCUGUGUGGUGGUGCACCUGCUGCGGCAGCUGUCACCGCGGCUCCCGGUAAUGGCACAAAUGGGGCCUCUAAUGCACGGCCCGGGCCUGGCUGGCAGCGGCGGGGCUGGCAGAGUGGGCUGUGUAGACGGAUGGGAAUUCUGCCAACCCCUGGGAUCCAGGCUGCACUGUCAGUCAGCCGGACGGCCAGACAGACAACCAACUCAGAAGCCGUCACCCGCACAGCAGCUUCAGGGACGUGGGGCAGCGUGGCCAGGUCUCAGCACUCCAAGAGGUCACGGUGUAGUCGAGGUGGGAGACUCGGAUGUAGACAAGACUUGAAGAAUGACACAGGGCCCUGGAUAAAACCCAGGCCUGAGCUGUGGGUAUGGAACCAACCAGAAGAGCUGCGGGAAUUCUGAUGAACUGGAGUGUUUCUUCUCCUCCUAAAUAUUUUGAUGAAAUUUCAUAGAGCAUUUUAAAUUUAAAACUGAAAUACUCUCUGUCAACAAAUAAUGCAUGUGCUCAUUAGAAAAAUUGCGACAUGUAGAAGCUUCUUAAUUUAUGAAAACAAAAUAAAAUCAUGGGUGGUACUGACAUUAUCUACUAUUGCUGAGCACUCUUAAGGAUUAUAAGGGUUUGCAUUUACUUGUGCUGAUAAUUUUUGGAAUUUCUAGCUUUUUAAAAAUAUUUAUCUGCUCAAAUACUUACCUACAAGUUACUAAGGUGGACGCUGAAGCAGGUGCUGGUCACAGCUGCAGGCACGGAGGAUACUGUUUAUGGCCAGCACAUAGCCUCACUGAGUCCCCACGACACACAUGGGGUCGUGGUGGUGGUUGGCCAUGGAGCCACCCAGGUUCCAUUUGCCCUUCACUGGUCACCGUGUCCUGCUUCCCCUAGGGGCUGGACCCCAUCCUGCUCCACUGCCAUUCCUUGUGCUUCUGGAAGGUGACUCUGCUGCAGUGCAGAGAUGUGACAUGGACUCAGGCCUGGCCAACCAGAGCAUUUCCCUGGCCAUCAUGGUUGGUUCAGGAUGGCCACUUGACCCAAAGAGAGCCAAGGAUGCUUGGGAACAGGGUCUGACUAUUCCCUGAAGGAUGUGAAGCUGAGCGGAUUUAGGAGUUUCUGCCUCUAGCUUGUGACCCCUUGA